rnacentral:pre_miRNA from 1 species
AAUGGAAUUGUUGGGUCAUAUGAUAACUCUGUUUAAUUUUUUAAGAAGCUUCCAGACUGUCUUGUAAAAUGGCUACACCAUUUUCCAUUCCUGCCCGCAAU